GGAUCAGUAGCAAUGCUGUUAGCGUCCGGAUAACAAUGACUUCAUUUUUGAGCUGAAAUAUGGGGUUAAGUCCUUCAACUUAUCGUCGGUUUCUGAGUCUGCUUCUGGGUCAUCUACUUCCUUGUGUCACCAACAUGCCAUUUAACUAGAUAUCAAGCCAAGAACGGAUUGAUGCACAUCACUGACCCUCAAUAUUUCCUUAAUUUUCCAAUUCACAUAAGAUUUGUGGGUUUGCGGAGUGGUUAAAAGCCCGCCCGGACACACCUUUAACACCGACCGCCUCGUGGAAUCAGCCGUAUGAUGGAUUGAGACAGCGCUGAGGUGGUGACUGCCAUCUGGGAGGGUGCGAUACAGAGGCGAGUGAUUGACUGGGAUUUAGUGGAGACGGGCUGGACUGUGUGGCCUGACAGGAACUGAUAGCCUCGCCAUCAUCAUUCUGAGUCACAAUGACAGGGGCGGUCUGAACUCUGUCUGUGAGGUCAGAAUUGGCAGGCGACAGAUUAUAGACAGCUAUACUAAGUGCAUGCAGGAUAUUUCAAUAACUUUUUGUUAUGAUUUUAGCUGGGGAAAAGUUUCUUUUUAGUUUCACAUGAUCAAACUUGGAAUAUUUAAAUAAGUGAAAAAUGAGUUAUUUUGACUUUUUAUAAUAAUUGUAAUUGAAUAUUUCUAUGUAUAGACUUUAAUAACAUCAGUUAUUAUCGUCUCAGUGAUGUCACUCGGUCACUGAAGAGGAUGAUGGCAGUCAACAUGUUAGAAAUGUUAUCUCUAUUAGAGGUGCUGGAAAACAUUUAAUUCAUGUUAGAACCUCAGAUAUUAAUUUCUGUUAUUCUGAAUUUUAAAAGUACUUGACUUCAUCCUGAAUCUCUUUUCAACAGAGACGAGUUUUAGCAUCACAGUGCUGAUAUUUUCAACUUAAUUUUCCACUGGAAUUAUGUAGACCUGACUCAUUAACUGUGCUGAUAGUCAUUUUUCUGUGUGCAUAUUCUGGUUGAUAACCACACAUAGCACACAGAAAAAAUAGGCAAGUCCUCUAUUCCCUAGGAUCUCCAUAUGUGGGAGGUGAGAACCAGGUGCGUGAGACAUGAUGCUCCAGCAGUCAGGCAGUCUGAAAGUUUCACAAUGAACUAUUUUGCAACUUAAGCGCAAAUAAAUGUCUUUAUUUUA